ACUGAGGAAGCCUGGUCUAUAGUGACUGGCAGUGACUCUCCCAGGUUUCAGACAUUGAGCCUCCCUUGCCCCCCACCAGCCAAAGCUGGAAUCACUGGGAAUUGAACUGGGAAACUUUCACAUGUGCUAAUGCUUGCUGACCCACAGCCCUUUGAUUGUGCUCUGAGAUAUUGUGUUACUGUUCAAAACACAUUUGUAUCUGUCAUAUCAUUGCAUGAGUUUCACACCCUGCUGGAGAAAACCUCCCUUUUCCAAUUUCCACAUUGCCUUCUAUGCACAAAACUGCUGGUCAUCUCAACCCCCUCCUCCUUCUCCACCUGAAGCAACUUGGGGAUCACCAUGGAAACGGUUACCAAUUAACUGCAACUGAGUAUGUAAGGGCUGUCUUUGGAAAUGAGGAAUGGGAGAACCAGAGCUGGUGGCGGCAGUGCCCUUUUGACAGGAAACAGCCAGAUGCCGUAAGGAUUGGCACCCAUCCCUCCAAGCACCUUAGGUGAAUCUGUCACCCCUACUUUCAUGCACCCAUCCCCAUGUUCUUCUGCAAUGGAUGAGGCCAGAAGAUCCCUCUGCUCAAAGGUGGGGCCAACAGCUCACAGGACUGUUAAACUUGUUCACCCUGUUGCUCCAGGGAGGAGUGUAUGUAUGUUAUGCCCACAGGUGAGCAUGUUUCCGUGUUUCAGCCCAGAUUGUCUAAUGAGCAAGUAGGAAGCAGGAAGAGAUCACUGAGAGGAUGGAACAAAACACAGAGGCAAAUGUCCCUCCAUUCAUUGUCUUUAAGGGGCUUCGUCUGAUGCUUAUGUUGUCUUAACAUGAUGGGGAGGGGCUGUUGUUUUCUGAGGAACAGAGGAUCUGAUCAAAUCCACUCCAUACAUGGAAAUCACAUUUUAAACACGUGGCUCCCACCAAAGAAUCUUGGAAAUGUCGUUUGUUAAGGGUGCUGAAAAUUAAAUUGUUGUUGUUGUU